AACGAACGCUGGCGGCAGGCCUAAUACAUGCAAGUCGAACGCCCCGCAAGGGGAGUGGCGCACGGGUGAGUAACGCGUGGGAAUAUGCCUCUAGGUGCGGAACAACGUCUGGAAACGGACGCUAAUACCGCAUAAUAUCUCCGGAUCAAAGAUUUAUCGCCUAGAGAUUAGCCCGCGUUGGAUUAGGUAGUUGGUGGGGUAAUGGCCUACCAAGCCUACGAUCCAUAGCUGGUCUGAGAGGAUGAUCAGCCACACUGGGACUGAGACACGGCCCAGACUCCUACGGGAGGCAGCAGUAAGGAAUAUUGGACAAUGGACGAAAGUCUGAUCCAGCCAUGCCGCGUGAGUGAAGAAGGCCUUCGGGUUGUAAAGCUCUUUCAGAUGUGAAGAUGAUGACGGUAACAUCAGAAGAAGCUCCGGCUAACUUCGUGCCAGCAGCCGCAGUAA
rnacentral:rRNA from 1 species